rnacentral:lncRNA from 1 species
CGAGGAAGAAAAAGACCGGCAGCUUUUCCGCAUGGUUGGCUGCGAAGAUGAUAUGCUGAACGAGGUCUUUGACGAUGCUCCACCAGUGUAAUGUUUUUUUGGUUUCUUUGCAGUAAUCUGUAGAAUUUGUGGAACUUUAGAUUAAUUGAAUCUUUCCUCUUGUUUUUUUUUUCAAUCAUUAUUUAUCUAGAUCAAGAAGUGAGAUCAAUAUUGUGUGACUAAUAGGAUAGCUUCAUGAUUUUCAAUGAAUUCAUUAGUGGCUUUUCCCCUCAUGAUUUUGGUCUAUUGUUGGUUUCUCUCAGGUUCUUUUCAUUGCCGUUUAUAAGCAUAUCACUAUUCUGAUGUAGUUUAUCUGAAGUUUAAAUGUUGGCUCUUAUCUAAGAAACAUUGUUAUCUG